AGUUGUCUUGUGAACCAAUCAGUCUACCAACCAGCCAGUCAUCUUAUGAGCCCAUCAGCUUACCAACAAGCUAUUCAUCUUGUGAGCCCAUCAGCCUACCAACGUGCCAGUCAUUUUGUGAACCAAUCAGCCUCCCAAUCAGCAAUCCCUCUUUUGAAUAAAUCAGCCAACAAUCCAUCUUGUGAGCCAAGCAGCUAGCUAUCAACCUACCAACCAGCCAUUCACCCUGUAAGCCAGUCAUAGGCAACUAGCAAGGAGCCAGACAUCAGUGUUACUGGAAGUCUACACCAGUUGUUUUGUGGAUUAGCAGGAGAAAUGCCAAUGGUCACUUUACAAUGAGCAGGCUUCACGGACAAGAAGGUAGCACUUCCAGCUGUGGGAUCCAUGCCAUCGACGGAUGGGUUUUGGGAGAUUGAGGGCAAGAUAACCCUGGCAGCUUUGUACAUCA